rnacentral:rRNA from 1 species
UACGUAGGGGGCUAGCGUUGUCCGGAAUCAUUGGGCGUAAAGCGCGUGUAGGCGGUCCGGUAAGUCCGCUGUGAAAGUCGGGGGCUCAACCCUCGAAUGCCGGUGGAUACUGUCGGGCUAGAGUGCGGAAGAGGCGGGUGGAAUUCCUGGUGUAGCGGUGAAAUGCGCAGAUAUCAGGAGGAACACCUAUUGCGAAGGCAGCUCGCUGGGACGUAACUGACGCUGAGACGCGAAAGCGUGGGGAGCAAACAGG